CUAUACGGAUAAAUAAAAGAAAAUAAAUAAAAAGUUUUAUAAGCAAAUGUAGUAGCUUCAAGAAUAGAAUAAAAUAAAAGUUGAAAUAUUUUUUAAAAAAAUCUCAUCUUAUUUUCAUUUUCUUUCUCCCGAGGGAAAGUGGAGAACACAAGCUAACACAUCAAAAAGAUAAUGAUCCUCUUUUGGGAUCUUUAUGACACAGCAAUCCUUUGUAUUACUGGGUUCGAAGAUCCGCGAUGUACUAUGAAUCAUGUGGUAAAAACUAAAAAGUGAUUCGCUCACCUUCAGCAUUUCCAUCAACUUGUCUUUAGGUCAGCAUGGAUGAGAUAAAUCACGAAUGACUACGAACCAUUAAUACAUAUGGCAAGACAUAGGAGGAGGUGAGAUCAGAUCCUCUAUCCUAAAAUUCUUGUGUCCCUGUAUCCCCUCGUCAAAUGGACGGACUAGAUCACAUCUCAAAGAUACAGUGCACAUCACGAGAAUAUCAUACCCGUCAGAUCAACAAAGAAACACAAGAAUCUUAAGACAGAGGAUAUAAUUUAAAGGAAAGGCAUGUUGAGAAUCCGCAUCUAUUACAGCAACACCAUAUAUAAAAAUCAAUUGUAUCACACUGAAAUCAAUCUAAAUGGCAAUUGAUUGAGCAACACCAUAUAUAAAAAUCAACUGUAUCACACUGAAAUCAAUCUAAAUGGCAAUUGAUUGAGGAUAUCUAUAACUAAUCAACAACUCCAUGACAUUAUUCAAUGCGAAGAGCUGUGGCCAGGCACAGGGACAGAGGAUCCCUCCCCAGUUCAUUAAUUAAUUCGUUGAUCGGUGGAGAUCCAGGAAGAGACCAGGUGGGGUAUAAGAGGGAGAUUAAAAAAAUGAACAGGAGAUGUCCAAGGGAGAAGAACCUUAACAUCGAACCACUUUUCUUUCUUCAACAAACAAAGAAACCCCACAACUUGCACGCCAAAUUGGCAAUGCCAUGCCACACUUGUCCUCAAAUAAUACUUCACACCCGCGGAAUGUGCAGUGCACUGCAUCCAUCCCAAUUAAUUAAUUAUAACACCCCUCUCAAAGCUCUUCUCUUUCUCUCUCUCUCCCUUCCUCCAACGGAUUCAAGCACAGGAAACUCAAAGACAGAUCUCAAAGUCAGACCUGUAAGUAACGAUCGAGUAUGAGUUCAGAGUGUCGAAUAGAAAAGAAUCAGAUUCGUUUGGAAGCUCAUUAGACAGUGUUAAUUAACUGAUCUGAUGGAAGGCAGAGAGAAGAGAAUGCAUCAUCCACUACGAGAGCCUCAUCAUGAGCACAGAGAGUCCUCUCCUUCCAACUAUUUCAGCGUGGAAACGUUUCUGGUUCUUGGCCUACUGACCUUGUCUCUCCUGGUCCUCCCUCUCAUACUGCCGCCGUUGCCACCGCCACCUUCGAUGCUACUGCUGCUUCCUCUAGGCAUACUUGUUGUGUUAAUGAUUUCGGCUUUCAUGCCCUCGGGCAGAAGAAAUAUGGCUUCGUCUCAUCUGUAAAUAUCGAUCGGAUCAUAGUGAUCGACUUUAAUUUGCACAAUAAAUAUUUUUUUUUGGCGAUAAA